CCUACGGGUGGCAGCAGUGAGGAAUAUUGGUCAAUGGACGCAAGUCUGAACCAGCCAAGCCGCGUGCAGGAAGAAGGCUCUAUGAAUUGUAAACUGCUUUUGUCAGGGAGUAAACGCAGGUACGCGUAUCCGUCUGAGAGUAUCGUACGAAUAAGCAUCGGCUAACUCCGUGCCAGCAGCCGCGGUAAUACGGAGGAUUCAAGCGUUAUCCGGAUUUAUUGGGUUUAAAGGGUGCGUAGGCGGUCGGAUAAGUUAGAGGUGAAAUCCCGAGGCUCAACUUCGGAAUUGCCUCUGAUACUGUUAGGCUAGAGAGUAGUUGAGGUAGGCGGAAUGUAUGGUGUAGCGGUGAAAUGCUUAGAGAUCAUACAGAACACCGAUUGCGAAGGCAGCUUACCAAGCUACUUCUGACGUUGAGGCACGAAAGCGUGGGGAGCAAACAGGAUUAGAUACCCGGGUAGUC
rnacentral:rRNA from 1 species